rnacentral:tRNA from 1 species
GCCUCCUUAGCUCAGUGGUAGAGCAUCAGUCUCAUAUGGCAAAGAAAGUGUGCGCUGAGUGUCAUCAGUUCGAUCCUGAUAGGGGGCA